UGAAGCCUACUGGAGGCGUGGCUAAGGAUGGUAAGUGCUUCUAUUGCAACAACACUGGGCAUUGGAAGCGAAACUGUCCAAAGUAUCUGAAAGAUAAGAAGAAUGGAAAUGUUCCUACUACUUCUGCAGGGUCUGAGAAAGAGUAGAGCAUUGGCAAAAGGCGAGGUCGAUCUUAGAGUUGGCAAUGGAGCAAAGGUUGCUGCUUUAGCUGUUGGAACUUAUGUAUUGACCUUACCUAGUGGUCUUUUACUUAAUUUAGAAAACUGCUAUUAUGUACCUGCCAUUAGCAGGAAUAUUAUUUCAAUUUCUUGUUUGGA